rnacentral:misc_RNA from 1 species
CCUCACAUUCGAUCAAAUUGUUGCUCCACGAGCUAACGUUGGGUGCAAAAUGUGGGUUCCUGUGUUGCAUACCUAUGCGAUGGAAGUUUGUGGCUUUCGUUGUGCUAUUCAUCAUAACAUCCUUUUUGGAUGCUCGGUUGGACUAGAUAGCAGGGCUUGUGUUCCACGAACACAUCUCACAUGAUUGUUUGGAUGGACCAUGAGUGCCUGCUUGCUCUCUCGGAUGCGGAACUUUCUUCAUGGGUGAUGGGGUCGUUGGCCCUUUUUCCCAAAUCUCCAAGCGUUCAUCGCUUUAUCGGAAUGACGCUCUCGCCUUGUCUUUGACCGCGUGGAGCUCUCGGGCUUCAUGAUGGAUCAUGCUCGGCGGACGUCGUGAAGGAAUGCUACCUGGUUG